UACGUAGGGUGCAAGCGUUAAUCGGAAUUACUGGGCGUAAAGCGUGCGCAGGCGGUGAUGUAAGACAGAUGUGAAAUCCCCGGGCUCAACUUGGGACCUGGCAUUUGUGACUGCAUCGCUAGAGUACGGUAGAGGGGGAUGGAAUUCCGCGUGUAGCAGUGAAAUGCGUAGAUAUGCGGAGGAACACCGAUGGCGAAGGCAAUCCCCUGGACCUGUACUGACGCUCAUGCACGAAAGGCGUGGGGAGCAAACGAGG
rnacentral:rRNA from 1 species